rnacentral:rRNA from 1 species
UACGUAGGGGGCAAGCGUUAUCCGGAUUUACUGGGUGUAAAGGGCGUGCAGCCGGGCUGACAAGUCAGAUGUGAAAUCCCGCGGCUCAACCGCGGAACUGCAUUUGAAACUGUCAGUCUUGAGUACCGGAGAGGUCAUCGGAAUUCCUUGUGUAGCGGUGAGAUGCGUAGAUAUAAGGAAGAACACCAGUGGCGAAGGCGGAUGACUAGACGGCAACUGACGGUGAGGCGCGAAAGCGUGGGGAGCAAACAGG